rnacentral:rRNA from 1 species
UACGAAGGGUGCAAGCGUUACUCGGAAUUACUGGGCGUAAAGGGUGCGUAGGUGGUUUGUUAAGUCUGCUGUGAAAUCCCCGGGCUCAACCUGGGAAUGGCAGUGGAUACUGGCAAGCUAGAGUGCGGUAGAGGGUAGUGGAAUUCCCGGUGUAGCAGUGAAAUGCGUAGAGAUCGUAAGGAAGACCAGUGGCGAAGGCGGGUCUCUGGACAGUUCCUGACACUGAGGCACGAAGGCCAGGGGAGCAAACGGG